AAUGAACGCUGGCGGCAGGCCUAAAACAUGCAAGUCGAACGCCCUAGCAAUAGGGAGUGGCGCACGGGUGAGUAACAUGUGGGAAUAUGCCUUUUGGUACGGAACAACGUUUGGAAACGAACGCUAAUACCGUAUGGUCCCUCCGGGGUAAAGAUUUAUCGCCAAAAGAUUAGCCCGCACUAGAUUAGCUAGUUGGUAAGGUAAUGGCUUACCAAGGCGACGAUCUAUAGCUGUUCUGAGGGGAAGAUCAGCCACACUGGGACUGAGACACGGCCCAGACUCCUACGGGAGGCAGCAGUUAGGAAUAUUGGACAAUGGGCGCAAGCCUGAUCCAGCCAUGCCGCGUGAGUGAUGAAGGCCUUCGGGUUGUAAAGCUCUUUAACCGACGAAUAUAAUGACUGUAGUCGGAGAAUAAGCCCCGGCUAACUUCGUGCCAGCCGCCGCGGUAAUAC
rnacentral:rRNA from 1 species